rnacentral:lncRNA from 1 species
UUGUAGGAUAAUAUACGAUAGUCAAACGAGCGCAAAACAAUUAUAUUGAUUACUACAUUUUUACUUUGUUUGUCUUGCUAAUUUAAUCACUGUCAUCAAAUUUGAAGUCUAUCGAGUAAUGGAAGCACUUUCAAUAAGGACAUUAAUUCAUUUAUUCAUUAUGAAUCGAUAAUUUGUCUCCUUCCAUCAAGUACAUAACAAUAAUUACAAUUAUUUAUUUUUCAUAGAAGAUAUAAUCAUUCCUACUUCAAAUCAAAACAGUUCCAAUUAAAAAAAACGUUAUGAUGGCCGUCAAGUCAUGCAUUAUAUGUUAUUGCUCAUAGAUGCAUCGACUGUGAUCCGAUCAAGUGAUUGCCGACAUUUGUUCACCAUUUUUUUUGGGUAAAAUUAUAAGAUUGAUAAGAUAUGAAAUUAUAACAGUUAAAUCAAACAUUCAGUAAAUCGAAUCUGCACCUCCUUUUUAAUCCUACACAUUGAACUUAUUUCGCUCUGAACCAACCUAGUAUGCUAUACAAUAAUGUAGAAUAGCCAAACGAGCACACCACAAUUAUGUUGAUCGCCCCGUUCAUUUUGUUUGUCAUACUAUUUUAAUCACUCUCGCCAAAUUUGAAGUCUAUUGAGUAUUGAAAGCCCUUUCAACCAGGACAUUUAUUUAUUUAUUCAUUAUGAACCAAUAAUGUGUCUUCUUUGAUCUAGUACGUAACAAUAAUUAUAUUUAUUUAUUUUUUUCAAAGAGGAUAUAAUGACUCCUAUUUCAAAUCUAAACGGUUACGAUCCAAAAAAAACUAUUAUGAUGGCUAUCAAGUCAUGCAUUAUUGGAUAUUAUUGCUCAAAGAUGCACCAAAUGUGAUUCGAUCAAGCGGUUGCCGACAUUUGUUAUCCACUAUUUUUGGGUAAAAUUAUAAAAUUGAUAAGAUAUGAAAUUAUAACGGUUUAGAUUAAACAUUCAGUAAAUCGAGUCUAUACUUGCCUUUCAAUCCUAUACAUGAACUUACUUGAUUCUGAACUAAUUUACUAUGCUAUAGGAUAAUGGACGAUAGCCAAAUGAAUGCAACACAAUUAUGUUGAUCGCCACCGUUCACUUUGUUUGUCUUGCUAUUUUAACCACUCUCGCCAAAUUUGAAGUCUAUCAAGUGUUGGAAACCCUUUCAUCCAAAACAUUGAUUCAUUUAUUCAUUAUGAACCGACAAUUUAUCUCAUUCGAUAAAGUACGUAAUGAUAAUUAUAUUUAUUUAUUUAUUUCGUAUAGGAUGUAAUCACUCCUACUUCAAAUCAAAACGGUUCCGAUUAAAAAAAAACUAUUAUGAUGGUCGUCAAUUCAUGCAUUAUAGAACAUUAUUGCUUAUAAAUGCAUCGAAUGUGAUCCGAUUAAGUGGUUGUCGACAUUUGUUAGCCAUUGUUUUCGAGUAAAAUUAUAAAAUUGAUAAAAUAUAAAAUCAUAAUAGUUUCGAUCAGAUAUUCCGUAAAUCGAGUCUGCACCUGCCUUUCAAUUCUAUAUAUUGAACUUACUUGGUUCUGAACCAACAUAGUGUACUAUAGGAUAUGUACGAUAGCCAAACAAGCACAACAUAAUUAUGUUGAUUGCCACCAUUCACUUUGUUUAUCUUGCUAUAUUAGUCACUCUCGCCAAAUUGGAAGUCUAUAUAGUAUUAAAAACCUUUUCAUCCAGGACAUUGAUUCAUUUAUUCAUUAUGAACCGAUAAUUUGUCACCUUCGAUCAAGUACGUAACGAUAAUUAUAUUUAUUUAUUUUUUUUAUAGAGGAUAUAAUCACUCCUACUUCAAAUCAAAACGGUUCUGAUUAAAAAAAAAACGUUAUGAUGGCCGUCAAGUCAUGUAUUAUAGGAUAUUAUUGCUCAUAUAUGCACCGACUGUGAUUCGAUCAAGUGAUUGCCGACUAUUGUUUGCCAUUGUUUUUGGAUAAAAUUAUAAAAUUGAUAAGAUAUGAAAUCUUAAAAGUUUAGAUCAAACAUUUAGUCAAUUGAGUCUACACAUGCCUUUUAAUCCUAUACAUUGAACUUACUUCAUUCUGAACCAAUCUAGUAUGCUAUAGGAUAAUGUACGAUAGCCAAAUGAGCACAAUACAAUUAUGUUGAUCGCCUCCGUUCACUUUGUUUGUCAUGUUAUUUCAAUCACUCUCCCUAAAAUUGAAGUCUAUCAAGUAUUAAAAGCCUCUUUCAUCUAGGACAUUGAUUCAUUUAUUCAUCAUGAACUGACAAUUUGUCUCCUUCGAUCAAGUACGUAACGAUAAUUACAUUUAUUCAUUUUUUCAUAGAGGAUAUAAUCACUCCUACUUCAAAUCUAAACAGUUCUAAUUUAAAAAAAAACUAUUAUUAUGGCCGGCAAGUCAUGCAUUAUAGGAUAUUAUUACUCAUAGAUGUACUGAAUGUGAUUCGAUUAGGUGGUUGCUGACAUUUGUUCACCACCGUUUUCUGGUAAAAUUAUAAAAUUAAUAAGAUAUGAAAUCAUAACGAUUUAGAUCAUACAUUUAGGAAAUAGAG